GGAUUUUCUUAGUAGCGGCGAGCGAAAAGAAAAGAGUUCAGCACUAAGUCACUUUGUCUUUAUGGCAAAUGUGAGAUGCAGUGUAUGGAAUGUCAAAUUUCUAGUAUGAGAAAUUAACGAUUUAAGUCCUUCUUAAAUGAGGCCAUUUACCCAAAGAGGGUGCCAGGCCCGUAUAACGUUAAUGAUUACUAGAUGGCAUUUCCAAAGAGUCGUGUUGCUUGAUAGUGCAGCACUAAGUGGGUGGUAAACUCCAUCUAAAACUAAAUAUAACCAUGAGACCGAUAGUAAACAAGUACCGUGAGGGAAAGUUGAAAAGAACUCUGAAUAGAGAGUUAAAUAGUACGUGAAACUGCUUAGAGGUUAAGCCCGAUGAACCUGAAUAUCCGUUAUGGAAAAUUCAUCAUUAUGAUUUUAAUAUUUAUAAUAUUAUAAUAAUGGUGUGCAUUUUUUCUAUAAAGGACAUUGUAAUCUAUUAACAUACAAAUAUUUAUCAUAAGAUCAAGGGCGUAAGUUUAUUCAAAUUAUUUUGCUUGCAAUUUAACAUAGAAUAAAUGUCUUUGAUUUGAUAAAGUGUUGAUAGAUUUAUUAUAUAUAGUGCUUAAAUAUUUAUAUUUUAUAAUAGCAUAUUAAUCAUUGAUUUUUAUGUUUAUUAUAUGCACUUAUAUGAUUAACAAUGCGAAAGAUUCAGGAUACCUUCGGGACCCGUCUUGAA
rnacentral:rRNA from 1 species